GACGAACGCUGGCGGCGUGCUUAACACAUGCAAGUCGAACGGAAAGGCCUGUCCUUCCUUGUGUUGGACGGGUACUCGAGUGGCGAACGGGUGAGUAACACGUGAGUGAUCUGCCCCCAACUUGGGUAUAAGCCUGGGAAACUGGGUCUAAUUCCCGAUAGGACUGCAGGGUGGUGCCUGUGGUGGAAAACGAUUUUCUAGUGGUUGGGGAUGAGCUCGCGGCCUAUCAGCUUGUUGGUGGGGUAAUGGCCUACCAAGGCGGCGACGGGUAGCCGGCCUGAGAGGGUGGACGGCCACAUUGGGACUGAGAUACGGCCCAGACUCCUACGGGAGGCAGCAGUGGGGAAUAUUGCACAAGGGGCGGAAGCCUGAUGCAGCGACGCCGCGGGGGGGAUGACGGCCUUCGGGUUGUAAACUCCUUUCGACCGCGAGGAAGCCGCCUGGUUGGAAGGGUGGUGACGGUAGUGGUAGAAGAAGCACCGGCUAACUACGUG
rnacentral:rRNA from 1 species